CCUACAGGACACCUAGGGGAGGGGAGGAGGGGAGGGCUGGGAGGAUCUCUGGGGCAAAGGAGCCUCAUUACCCCUCCUGUGCAAGAGCUAGACCAUACCCUCGGAGUACCCCCGCAUUGGGCCCAGAUACCCCUUCCUCUCCCUCAGGAUUCAUCCUGGCCCUUGCGGAGCCAAGUUUCAGAUGUGUGGCUUAGCUGGGAGGUGGGACCUCUCUAAGCCUCUGAGCCUCUCCCUUUCAUUCUGGGGGAAAAACUGUUGUCCCAGUUCUUAAGGCCGGGGCCCCACACAGAGGGGUAGGGGCAGACCAGUCUGGGCUCCCCUGCAAGGGCUCCUAGGAAAUAUGGGGAGUCGGGGCUGAUGGAGGGGGUGACGGGCCUUACCAUGUGGUGGCUGCUUUUCCCCCACCAGGGCCUCAGUUCCAGCAGCUGGUGGGUGAGCUGGGCGCAGCGCACAGCAAACACGCUCUCUGCCACACAGAGCACUAGUGCGAUGCCCCAGAGGCACAGGCUGGAGCUCUGCGGGGGGGCACAAGGGGCAGGAUGGAGAGCAAAUGUCCAAGGACCUUUCCCACCUCUGAUGAGCACCUGGGUGUCACCCCUCAUCCCCCUCAUCACCCCGCCCUACUCCCCCAGCCCUGCCCUGCUCCCCCACUGCAAUCUCAGGCUUAAGCACUCACAUAAAUGCGUGUGGGGUCGAAGGGACAGUCGGGCACCAAUACCAGCAGUUCGGGGCUUCCAAAAGUGCAGGCAGCCAGCAGUGCCCGGCCUUGGGUGGCAAAGGUCACGGCGAUCGAGGCCAAGAGCCCCAGGGCACAGGUCAGAGAGAGAAGGGCACAGGCCACACUGGAGCUAAACACUGUCCAGCGCUGAUGGGAGAGGCCACUGGUCACUGGAUGCCAGCUUGUCCCCAUGGGGUCAGCCUCACUCCCUCCAGGCAAGCUAGGCCCUCCGGGGUGGCCGCUGCCCCUACCCUACCCCUCCAGCCCCUCCCAGGAGGAGCCACAUACCAGGGGGGUGUUGGGGAGGUAGCGCGACAACACAAUGGCAGCAAUGCCUGAGGUGAUGACCUGCGGGGAGGGAGAGCAGGCAGUGGUCAGGGGCACCGUGGGAGAUUCCACCGAUGCCAACUCUAGCCCUCCGAGCCCCCAGCCCCUCAUUCCGGCUCAGCUUUGGCCUCGAUACCUCCAUCUGCACAGAGGCACUGCCUCUUCACGGUCCAGCCCGGAAGAGAUGUUGCUAAUAUCCGCAAGUCAGAAAGCUUCAAGGAGUAGAAUUCCAUGAUCUGUGCCCAUGGGAGGCAGGCAGUCCGAUGGCAAUCCAGCAAUGGCAUGAAUUCGUUGAGCAGCCACAAGAUGGGAAGAAUUCUGCUAUAUGCCUCAGUACCAUGGCUGUCUCAAAAAAAGCACUUGUGGAGUUGUUUGAGUUGCAAGUUGUACAUCAUUUUUACCUGAAAGAAGGAUUGAAAGACAGAUCAUCGUUAUGCAAAUGUAGGGGUUUUUUUUCCCCAGACAUUUUCUCUAAUGAAAGAAGUAAGCCUAUUGAUCCAAGGGGAGAAAUUGACAACAUU